UAACCUGCCCAAGAGAUCGGGAUAACACCUGGAAACAGAUGCUAAUACCGGAUAACAACAGAUGAUGCCUAUCAACUGUUUAAAAGAUGGUUCUGCUAUCACUCUUGGAUGGACCUGCGGUGCAUUAGCUAGUUGGUAGGGUAACGGCCUACCAAGGCGAUGAUGCAUAGCCGAGUUGAGAGACUGAUCGGCCCACAUUGGGACUGAGACACGGCCCAAACUCCUACGGGAGGCAGCAGCCC
rnacentral:rRNA from 1 species